rnacentral:rRNA from 1 species
AGUGAACGCUGGCGGUAGGCCUAACACAUGCAAGUCGAACGGCAGCACGGUAAGAGCUUGCUCUUACGGGUGGCGAGUGGCGGACGGGUGAGGAAUACAUCGGAAUCUACUUUUUCGUGGGGGAUAACGUAGGGAAACUUACGCUAAUACCGCAUACGACCUACGGGUGAAAGCAGGGGAUCUUCGGACCUUGCGCGAUUGAAUGAGCCGAUGUCGGAUUAGCUAGUUGGCGGGGUAAAGGCCCACCAAGGCGACGAUCCGUAGCUGGUCUGAGAGGAUGAUCAGCCACACUGGAACUGAGACACGGUCCAGACUCCUACGGGAGGCAGCAGUGGGGAAUAUUGGACAAUGGGCGCAAGCCUGAUCCAGCCAUACCGCGUCGGUGAAGAAGGCCUUCGGGUUGUAAAGCCCUUUUGUUGGGAAAGAAAAGCAGCAGGUUAAUACCCCGCUGUUCUGACGGUACCCAAAGAAUAAGCACCGGCUAACUUCGUG